UACAGAGGGUGCGAGCGUUAAUCGGAAUUACUGGGCGUAAAACGCGCGUAGGCGGCUUUGCAAGUCGGGUGUGAAAUCCCCAAGCUUAACUUGGGAACUGCAUUCGAGACUGCAUUGCUAGAGUAUGGGAGAGGGAAGUGGAAUUUCCGGUGUAGCGGUGAAAUGCGUAGAUAUCGGAAGGAACAUCAGUGGCGAAAGCGACUUCCUGGACCAAUACUGACGCUCAUGUGCGAAAGCGUGGGGAGCAAACAGG
rnacentral:rRNA from 1 species